rnacentral:rRNA from 1 species
UACGAGGGGGGCGAGCGUUGUUCGGAUUCAUUGGGCGUAAAGGGUGCGUAGGCGGCGCGGUAAGUCGGGUGUGAAAUCUCGGGGCUUAACUCCGAAACUGCAUUCGAUACUGCCGUGCUUGAGGACUGGAGAGGAGACUGGAAUUUACGGUGUAGCGGUGAAAUGCGUAGAUAUCGUAAGGAAGACCAGUGGCGAAGGCGGGUCUCUGGACAGUUCCUGACGCUGAGGCACGAAGGCCAGGGGAGCAAACGGG